rnacentral:rRNA from 1 species
UACGUAGGGUGCAAGCGUUAAUCGGAAUUACUGGGCGUAAAGCGUGCGCAGGCGGUUGUGCAAGACAGAUGUGAAAUCCCCGGGCUCAACCUGGGAAUUGCAUUUGUGACUGCACGGCUAGAGUGUGUCAGAGGGGGGGUAGAAUUCCACGUGUAGCAGUGAAAUGCGUAGAGAUGUGGAGGAACACCGAUGGCGAAGGCAAUCCCCUGGGCCUGCACUGACGCUCAUGCACGAAAGCGUGGGGAGCAAACAGG